rnacentral:rRNA from 1 species
UGGGGGAUAUUGCACAAUGGGCGAAAGCCUGAUGCAGCGACGCCGCGUGGGGGAUGAAGGCCUUCGGGUUGUAAACUUCUUUUGCUCUGAACAAGGCAUGCUAAUGGGUGUGUUGCGUGUAGGGGUUGAUUAGCGCCGGCUAACUACGUGCCAGCAGCCGCGGUAAUACGUAGGGCGCGAGCGUUGUCCGGAAUUAUUGGGCGUAAAGGGCUGGUAGGUGGCUGGUUGCGUCUGUCGUGAAAGCUCAUGGCUUAACUGUGGGUUUGCGGUGGAUACGGGCUGGCUUGAGUGCAGUGGGGGAGGCUGGAAUUCCUGUUGUAGCGGUGGAGUGCGAAGAUAUCAGGAGGAGUACCGGUGGCGAAGGCGGGUCUCUGGGCUGUUACUGACACUGAGAAGCGAAAGCAUAGGGAGCGAACAGG